rnacentral:tRNA from 1 species
GGCUUUAUAGUCAAUAAUGAUGUUAGACUGCAAUUCUAGAGGAGUAGGUUAAACUACUAAGGCUU